GAUGAAGAACGUAGCGAAAUGCGAUACGUAAUGUGAAUUGCAGAAUUCAGUGAAUCAUCGAGUCUUUGAACGCACAUUGCGCCCCCUGGUAUUCCGGGGGGCAUGCCUGUCCGAGCGUCAUUGCUGCCCUCAAGCACGGCUUGUGUGUUGGGCCUCCGUCCUCCUCCCGGGGGACGGGCCCGAAAGGCAGCGGCGGCACCGCGUCUGGUCCUCGAGUGUAUGGGGCUUCGUCACCCGCUCUUGUAGGCCCGGCCGGCGCUUGCCGACACAUCAAUCUUUUUUCCAGGUUGACCUCGGAUCAGGUAGGGAUACCCGCUGAACUUAAGCAUAUCAAUAAGCGGAGGA
rnacentral:misc_RNA from 1 species